rnacentral:rRNA from 1 species
UACGUAUGGUGCAAGCGUUAUCCGGAUUUACUGGGUGUAAAGGGAGCGUAGGCGGCCCUGCAAGUCAGGUGUGAAAGCCCGGGGCUUAACCCCGGGACUGCACUUGAAACUGCGGGGCUGGAGUGCAGGAGAGGCAGGCGGAAUUCCUAGUGUAGCGGUGAAAUGCGUAGAUAUUAGGAAGAACACCGGUGGCGAAGGCGGCCUGCUGGACUGAGACUGACGCUGAGGCUCGAAAGCGUGGGGAG